rnacentral:rRNA from 1 species
AGAGUUUGAUCAUGGCUCAGAUUGAACGCUGGCGGCAUGCCUAACACAUGCAAGUCGAACGGUAACGGCAGAAACGAUCCUUCGGGUGAGUUUCUGGCCGACGAGUGGCGGACGGGUGAGUAAUGCUUGGGAAUUUGCCUAGUAGUGGGGGACAACACGAGGAAACUCGUGCUAAUACCGCAUACGCCCUACGGGGGAAAGCGGGGGAUCUUCGGACCUCGCGCUACUAGAUGAGCCCAAGUCCGAUUAGCUUGUUGGUGAGGUAAAGGCUCACCAAGGCGACGAUCGGUAGCUGGUCUGAGAGGACGAUCAGCCACACUGGGACUGAGACACGGCCCAGACUCCUACGGGAGGCAGCAGUGGGGAAUAUUGCACAAUGGGCGAAAGCCUGAUGCAGCAAUGCCGCGUGUGUGAAGAAGGCCUGCGGGUUGUAAAGCACUUUCAGUAGAGAGGAAAAGCUCGUGGCUAAUACCCGUGAGUCUUGACGUUAACUACAGAAGAAGCACCGGCUAACUCCGUGCCAGCAGCCGCGGUAAUACGGAGGGUGCGAGCGUUAAUCGGAAUUACUGGGCGUAAAGCGCGCGUAGGCGGCUAAGUCAGUCGGAUGUGAAAGCCCUGGGCUUAACCUGGGAACUGCAUUCGAUGCUGCUUGGCUAGAGUAUGGUAGAGGGAAGUGGAAUUCCGGGUGUAGCGGUGAAAUGCGUAGAUAUCCGGAGGAACACCAGUGGCGAAGGCGACUUCCUGGACGAUAACUGACGCUGAGACGCGAAAGCGUGGGGAGCAAACAGGAUUAGAUACCCUAGUAGUCC